rnacentral:rRNA from 1 species
CCUACGGGGGGCAGCAGUGGGGAAUAUUGGACAAUGGGGGCAACCCUGAUCCAGCCAUGCCGCGUGUGUGAAGAAGGCCCUCGGGUUGUAAAGCACUUUCAGUGAGGAAGAACGCCUGGUGGUUAAUACCCAUCAGGAAAGACAUCACUCACAGAAGAAGCACCGGCUAACUCCGUGCCAGCAGCCGCGGUAAUACGGAGGGUGCGAGCGUUAAUCGGAAUUACUGGGCGUAAAGCGCGCGUAGGUGGCUUGAUAAGCCGGUUGUGAAAGCCCCGGGCUCAACCUGGGAACGGCGUCCGGAACUGUCAAGCUAGAGUGCAGGAGAGGAAGGUAGAAUUCCCGGUGUAGCGGUGAAAUGCGUAGAGAUCGGGAGGAAUACCAGUGGCGAAGGCGGCCUUCUGGACUGACACUGACACUGAGGUGCGAAAGCGUGGGUAGCAAACAGGAUUAGAUACCCUUGUAGUC